UGAACUUUAAAGGAAGCGAUGUGGUUUAUUCAGAAGUCCAGAGCAUCCAAAAAGAAAAGAGAUGUGCAGUGGCCUCCCCAUCUGGGCUUCUCAAGGACAAGGACUCCUCAGUCAUCUACACCCAAGUGAAGGUCACAUCAAAUCCCCACUCCCAGCCCCAGCUCUUGGCAUCGCUGGC